UACAUGGGGUGCAAACGUUGCUCGGAAUUAUUGGGCGUAAAGCGCACGUAGGCGGUUUGUUAAGUCGGAUGUGAAAUCCCUCGGCUCAACUGAGGAAGUGCAUCCGAAACUGGCAGGCUUGAGUACUAAAGAGGGUCGCGGAAUUCCCGGUGUAGAGGUGAAAUUCGUAGAUAUCGGGAGGAACACCGGUGGCGAAGGCGGCGACCUGGGUAGAUACUGACGCUGAGGUGCGAAAGCGUGGGGAGCAACCAGG
rnacentral:rRNA from 1 species